CCUGCUCCAGCUGCCUUUGGAUGAUCUGAGGGGGUCAAGACCAGACAUGUGCGUUAGCCAGGCUGACUUCACCAGACAGUGGUUAGAGGAUACUAAUCUUCAUCAUUCUUCCACCAUGACCAGCAACACCAUCAUGACCAUCACCACCACCAUAGGAAUCCAUCUGCUGCAAAUUUUCAGGUGCAAAUGGAUUGUGGGCAGAAACCUGAGAACCCCAGAGGAAACCCCAUUACAACAUGGGGACAAGAUGCAAACUCCACACACAUGGAACCAUGGGCCCCAGAGAACACUCAUCCUGGUAAGGACGGUGGUGCCAAUAGGCCAGCACAUCUGGACCGGACCUCUCUCUCCAGGAUAUCUGACACUAGCGCAUUCUGGGGCAUCCCCAGAUGUUCCCAAGCC